CCUGAGCUGAUAAAAACGCCAUUCUGGGCUGGGACCCCAGCAAUUCCUGCAAUGGCAGCUUUUCUCCUGCUCCUCUCCCUGACCCUCCUGGCCGGCCCAGCCUGGGCUAGCACAGGCCUGAUCUCCAAGGAUCACCGGCAGGAACCCACCCUCCGGAACCAGCAGCACCAGCAAGACAGCUCCUUCUUGGGGGACCUGCGUGACCAGGAUGGGUCACCCUUCCUGAUCUGUAGCAGCUGUCAGAUCAUCAUGCAGAAACUUAAGGACAUGGUUGGGAACCAGAUUAACGACACGGAUGCGAUAGACAAUGCGGAGAAGCGGUUGUGCAGGUUCGUGGGUUUUAUUCUCCGGACGUUCUGCCGGAAACUCAUGAAGACAUAUAUGUACCCCAUCGCCAUCGAACUUCAGGCGGGCAAGUCUCCCUGGGAUGUCUGUGUGGACAUCAGUUUAUGCAAGCCUAUGGAAGACCAGGAUGCCAGGGAGAAGAUCCUGGAGUCUGAAUCUACCCUUGAGAAGAGGACUCUGGAGGCGGAGUGGCCCCAACCUGCCAGAAGGUCUCUCUGGAGAUACUGAUCCUGCUCAGAAGCUUCAGCAGCUCUGUCCCUGCCCCCCCCCCCCCCCCGAUCUGCCAACACCCCCACUCCAACUUGCAGCCCCUCCCCCUGGCUUUUCCAGAGAAUAAAAUGUCAUGAAUGCACUGGG
rnacentral:lncRNA from 1 species